AAAAAAAAAAAAAAAAAAAAAAAAAAAAAAAAAGCCCAGGACCAGAUGGUUUCAGUGCAGAAUUCUACCAGAAAUUCAAAGAAAUGCUAAUACCAGCAUUCCUCAAAUUGUUCCACACAAUAGCAGCAGAAGGGACAUUGCCAAGCUCUUUCUAUGAGGCUACAAUUACUUUGGUACCCAAGUCACACAAAGACAAACGAAAAAAGAGAAUUUCAAAUUCUUUGAAUCUAUCCUGGUCCAUUUUCCUAGAUCCUAGAGCCAAAUGCUUUGCCUUUACCUGUAUGCACCAUGUAUUUUAUAUUAUGCUUGCAUUUUAACUGGCUCAUCUUCUUUGUUGCAUGAGAGAACUCACCAAGCCGCAGAUAGACUGUCUUUUAAUCUUUCAUGAAAGAAUGUCUUGGGAGGAACUGCAUGUAUCAUGUUGCUUGUGCUUGAGGAGCAUCUUGGGGGAAGAAUUAUUGAGGCAUAAAGUGGGAAUCCUGGGAUUUGGAGUUUGGGGUCAUAUCCCAGGCUUUCUAAUUUCCACUUGCAAGGAAGAACCUUUGACCUUUAAAAGGCCCACAAAGAAAUGCUGCCAGCAGAAUGGUGGCCCUGGAGACCACCUAAGACAUCUCUUUAGCUGAGGGCAUGAAAGGGCCUGUUGUCUGAGAGAGGAAUGAAAAUAGUACCUUUGUAUUUUUAUGGUUAGAAUGAAAAGGAAGCUGGUCUCUGGUUUUGCAGUCUGUGAAGAGACAGCACCUGUGCCAGUUAGUGUGAGGUUUCAUAAAUUAAUGGUGUCUGAGGGAGAGUGACCACCGGGCAGUGAAAAAGACUGGGUACUAGAUGCUACAGACAGUGAGAUGUAGCAAAGGCAUUCUCUACCAGGCAUGGCAUCAGGAGACAGGUCUCUCAUGAUGUCACUUCCAUACGGUGAGCUGAUCUGGCCACACCAUCAGAAGGAAGAGACCAAGUUUCAACAGCACUCCAGGGUAUCAUUCAGUAGUAGUAGAUGCAUGGAUACAGGACUUAGUUUGAAGUGAAAGCCAAAGGGACUGCCUAAUUGGACACUGUUUUCACAAGAGGGUCCUUAGAAUACCUAGAGGAAAAGUGCCACCUUUUUCACCGCUAUUAUGAAGAGACUAAACAUACGAGCAUAGUUGUACCUUUGAAAAGUCUACAUUGGAUCUGCUCUGGUUUCUGCUGCACUGCUUGAUACCUGACUGGAUUUGGUAAGCUAUUAAUAAAAUAUAUGUCAGAGAGUGAUGUCCAUGAAGCUAUGAACAUACUCCAUAAAUUAAGAUGAGGAUCCUUAUAGGAUGUGUUAGAUUGCUCAAGCCGUACAUUAAAUGGUUACUCAGGUACAAGGACUGUAUUUUAUGGUAUGUUCAGAUACGUAUAGCCAGUUUUCCUGGACCCCACUACACUGUGAUUAAAGAUGAGGUCAGGUUUGCCUUGUCAUGUCUGAAUUACUGUGCUUUAAACUCUCAUUCCAUCUGAUGACAGGAAAGCUUUUUAUGAGGCUUUCUGCACAGGUAUGCUAUUACUCCUCACAGUUGCUCAUAUGUUCCAUGCAGCCAUACUUCCCUGUCCACCUGGAUCUUCAGAUUCUCACUUUAGCUCCGCCACUCUUGUCCCUUCUCCCUGCAACCCCAGAGAUGAUGACACCUCAGCUAUACUUGUCUCAGUUGUAGAUCAUACCAUCAGAAUCAUUAACUCCUGGAAAGGAAAUAAAUAAAACUAUGGGAGUUGAAAAAGAAAAGCAUUGCAGAAGAAACACACCUGCCUUCCAGUCUCAGCCCUGUUGUUAACGAUCUAAAAGAAAUUAUUCUGGAAUCUAGCUUCACUUGCUUAGUUUCUUCUCUUACCAUGGCCAAUAGUAAUUUGCAAACAACCCUGCUUCCAGGAAUGACGAAAAAGAACCAUAAUCUACCGAAAAAGAACCACAAUCUACCGAAUGACCCAAAACCACCCAUCUCACCUCUUGGAAUGUGAGAGCUGUGUUCUUUAAAUUACUUCUUGUUGUCUGGGGAUGACAGUAUAUUUAGCAUACCCUGAGAAAAAUUGAGAUAAUGGUCAAGUCCUGAGAAAAUUAUCUGUAACAUUUGUUGUCCAGUCUCUGUAUAAUGGGAAAAUGCAUUCCUUAUCUGAGUCCUUGCUAGAGUAGCUUGUAAGAUUGGACCCUAUCAACUAGCAGCUUUGAAGUUGUUUUGAACAGUUUGUAGUUGGUAACUGAUAUUUGGGUGUUGUUUGCCAGCUUAAUGGCAUUAUUACAGUCCAGGUGGAAUUGUCCCUAUAGGGCCCCAUCAUCUUUUUAGAGACAUUAGAGGCCACUGUUAGGAAAGGUUAUGGUUCACUGCAGAACACUUAAACAUUGUAAAUGUCAUAUGCAGCAUAUCUUGGAGAGGUUAGAGAACCACAAUCUAUUAAGUAUAUCCUGGACAUACAAACUUAAUCCCUAAUUACCUGCUUCAAACUCAAAUCAAAAUCAUGUACAAGAAGCUAGAUGAAGCCUAUUUCUAGAAUUUGUUUGUAUGAACAUUAAUAUCACAAUAGGAAGUUUAAACACACACACACACACACAAUCUUAUAAUUUUAGAGCUAAUAUUUAUACCAUAGAAAUUAAUGACUAUGAUUUUCCAUAAUUUUGGUUUUCUUCAGUCCCAUACCAGGUGGCUCUUCUGAUGUAAGACAGAGAUUUUUAGAAUUUCCUUUAACAAGUAUGCUUGGGUUUAAGAGAGGGAGAAAAUCACUCUCCAAAUCCAAAGCUAGUUUUUAUUUUUAAUUGAAUUGGGACUAUAAGAAGACCAUUUGCCUUUUACGUUUGUAAAGAGCAACAGAAACUAUUCAGGAAAAUUUAUGAAAUUUUAUCCUGUUGGAAAUGUGUUAUAGCAUUAGGCCAAUUUUAUUUUCGUGGGGCAUUUUUCUUAGGACAAUUCAUCCUUCUUCAGAUGUCUCAUUUGCCCAGGGGUCCUCAGAUUCCAUAAUUGGAUGCUUUCACUCUUCUGGAAAGACAAAAACAAAACCCUGUCCCAACUCUAGUUUGGGGAGUUCCUUUUCUCUCAGAGUAUAUCUUUGUUAAGACAAAAUGUUCUAUAGCAGCAGGAAAAGCAUAUGUUUUUACUAAGAAAAAUUAUUUAUUUACUUUUUCUCAUACCUGAUCAAAUGAAAGGCAUUUGUUAGUCUUAUAUGUUAGUUUAGAGUGAAUGACCAAGCUGUUUGAUAUUGCCUCUUCUGAGGAAAGCUCUCCUGUUUGAAUAUAAUUGUUAAAAUCUUGAUGGUAUCCAUAGUUUUUCUUCUCCUUUGGAAACAAAAACAAAACCUCUUCACUAAUGUAACACAUAUCCUGGUUUCCAUUCUGAGGUUAAUACAUCUUUCAAAUAUAUAGGCUGAUUUAAUUCAGCAGUAUUUUCUAUUAUCCAAUGUCUCUCCACAGUCGUUUUUCCUUUUUCAUUAGCAUUUAAACAUUAAAUGUCAGUAAAGCACUAUGUAAUCUGUCUCUGGGGUCUUUAUUUCCCCUUUCUGUUUAUUAAGCAUAUCUUUUAAAGCACAAUUAUAUCUUUUUAUAACUGCUUGUCUUAUAGUAUGAGAAACAGUUUUAUUUUACUAGAGACAUAUACUGGAGAAUUGUCAGUCUUAAUUUGUACAAGAAUCCCCAUAAUGGCCAUGACUUCUAAGUGUGUAAUUAUGGAAUCAGCCUUUUCAGAACUUAAAGCAGUGGCCUAUUAGGAAUCCUGAAUAUGUAUCUAUGGUAUGGUGCACAUAUUUUAAUUUUCCAAACUCUGCAAAAUGAAACAUAUGCAUUUGCCAAAUUUCAUUUCUUUGAGUACAUUUUGGCUUACUUCUUGCAGGUAAUAGAGUUUGAUUAUACAAAGAACAAGUAGGGCAUUUCCUUAUAAUUUCCUUGGCUUGUUGUCAAGUGAUAGAAAAAUCUUUCUUCAAACCUUUGCUGUUAACAUGGUGUUUCUUAUGAAAUUCUGAAGCUUCUAGCAAUUUCCUAUAGCUGAUCAAUUAUCAUUACUUUAUACUAGAGGGCCUAGUAGACCUGUUUGGGAUAUGAUAUGUUUUAUAUACAAGGGAUGAUUUAUAUUUCUGAUAAUUUGUUGUAGUUUAUAAAUGCCAAAGUGAUUACAAGCUAAUACUAAUGAUUAAUACCCUGGUUUGUGCUUGUUUCUAACCACAAUGGAAUGCUUAUUUGUACUGAGAAAGUAAGAGAAGCAAAGAUGAAUUAAAAGUAGAUCCUGCCUUCCAGGAGCUUCUAGUCAGAGAAAGUUUGAUUACAAAUAUAAAGCUAUUUGUGG
ensembl:lncRNA